rnacentral:lncRNA from 1 species
GUUGAGAAAAGGAACAACUCUCAGAACAAGAUCAAAUUCCGAUUUCAUAUUCUUGGUACUUAGAGUUUUUAUGACACCUUUUAAAAUAAGUCACAUAGUUCAAUCCUACUCCUCAUUUAGCGCUCUAGAUCACUCAAAGUUUUUUUUUAGUAGUCCUCACCAAGGCAUGAAUGCCAACUUGUUUCAUCCUAUAACUAUAGGCUUAUAUGGGGCUUGGUAGGGAUAAACAAGGUAGCAUACUCUACUUUGCAAAUAUUGUUAAGUCAAAAACAAGGAUCCAAAGAGAGGAGUGUCAUAGUCAUAGAUCAAGAUGUGCAAGUGUGUUAUAUGGUGGACUAGGUUGCUCCUUUAUUUGCUACACUCUCUCUACUUGUAUAUUGAGACAUGGCUAGAUUUUCUUUUUCUUCGAGCUUUAUGUGCUCAAUUUUUUUUUAUUUUGCCAAGCCUUUUAUGUCUCAUUUUCUAAACAAUAUUUAGAGAGGUGUUCUAACACUUAGAGUAUGGAGCAACCUAUUUAGUGGAUGCACAAUACAUGUGGUUGCGUACUUCCAGUGUAGAAGCAGCAUAUAUAUAUGUGGUGUGUACGUGAUCUUGAUCUUGUGACUAUGAUACAACUCUCACUAGGGUCAACAAGGUUUUGACAAAACUCAUUACAAAAGCAGGUUGCAUUUCAUAAAAUGGUUACUUGAAUAUCUAAGUGUAUGGCUUUUGGUGGGAAUUUCUUGCUAAUGAGGAGUAAAUGAUACUAUGGUUUUGUGAUAUUUUUGAAACAAAUCUCUAAGUACCUUGAAUAGAAAUGUUAUGAAUUCUUAGCCAAGAGUUAUAUCACUUUCAUC